AUUGAACGCUGGCGGCAUGCUUUACACAUGCAAGUCGAACGGCAGCGCGGGCUUCGGCCUGGCGGCGAGUGGCGAACGGGUGAGUAAUGCAUCGGAACGUGCCCAGUAGUGGGGGAUAGCCCGGCGAAAGCCGGAUUAAUACCGCAUACGACCUGAGGGUGAAAGCGGGGGACCGAAAGGCCUCGCGCUAUUGGAGCGGCCGAUGUCGGAUUAGCUAGUUGGUGGGGUAAAGGCUUACCAAGGCGACGAUCCGUAGCUGGUCUGAGAGGACGACCAGCCACACUGGGACUGAGACACGGCCCAGACUCCUACGGGAGGCAGCAGUGGGGAAUUUUGGACAAUGGGGGCAACCCUGAUCCUGCCAUGCCGCGUGCGGGAAGAAGGCCUUCGGGUUGUAAACCGCUUUUGUUCGGGAAGAAAUACUCUGGGCUAAUACCCCGGGGGGAUGACGGUACCGGAAGAAUAAGCACCGGCUAACUACGUG
rnacentral:rRNA from 1 species